rnacentral:rRNA from 1 species
UACGGGGGGGGCAAGCGUUGUUCGGAAUUACUGGGCGUAAAGGGAGCGUAGGCGGUGCGGCAAGUCCGGUGUGAAAUCUCCGGGCUUAACCCGGAGCGGUCAUUGGAAACUGCCGUGCUAGAGUGUGGGAGAGGAGAGUGGAAUUCCCGGUGUAGCGGUGAAAUGCGUAGAGAUCGGGAGGAAGGCCGGUGGCGAAGGCGGCGCUCUGGAACGUUUCUGACACUGAGGCUCGAAAGCGUGGGAGCAAACAGGG